rnacentral:pre_miRNA from 1 species
GAUUUCAAUUGAAAAAUUCAUCAAUAAUAAUGUUGAAUAACUCAUAAAAAACUAAAACUUUUAUUUUGAUCAUUUGUUCAUCCGAUAAAGUGAUAGUAACAUUGUUCACAAAAUUGACAUAUAUCUUAUCUUGGUUUCAUAAACUAUAACACAGAUAUGUAAAAUUUGUGAACAAUAUUACUAACACUUUGUUGGAUGAAGAAAUGACCAAAAUAAAAGUUAUAGGUCUCGAUGAGUUAUACAAUUUUGUUGUUGAUGACUUUUUCAGUUGAAAUC